rnacentral:lncRNA from 1 species
CUUGGAAUUUCCUAAGUGUUGAGAGUGAUAAAGCUGUCUUUUGUUAUGUUAAUGAGGUGGCUUUUGGAAGCAGGGAAGGAUGGGGGCUGGUUGCCAGGAGAACCAGUGAUGUGAUCAGAGGGUUGGAACUUUCAGUCCCGCUCCCUUGACUUCUGGGAGAGAAGGGCUGGAGGUUGAAUCUAUCGCCAAUGGCCAAUGAUUUAACCAAUCGUGCCUAUGUAAUGAAACCUCCAUAAAACACCAGAAGGACAGAUUCAGAGAGCUUCCAGGUUGGAGAACACGCGGAGAUUGGGGGAGAGUGGCACACCCGGAGAUGGAUGGAAGCUCUGCACCCUUUCCCCAUACCUUGCCCUAUGCAUCUCUUCCAUCUGGCUGUUCCUGAGUUGUAUCCUUUUAUAACAAACUGGUAAUCUACAGAGAACAGAGGAAGAGCUCAAAGUCCCCCAGAGGUGAACUCUAGAGUCACAGGCCUCACCCAUGAUGAGGAUCAAGGCUGUCCCAGGGAGAGAAGCCCAAGUCAUCCCGGCCUACUGUAAUGCUGAUCUGUAUCAUCCUCCGGGGAGCAGAGGACGUCCUGACCUGAUCCGAUCUGAUUCCUAUCCAAAGUUAUGCGACCACCCAAUAACCAGACCUCAUCUGCACUGAUGCCAUUUUAAUGACUUUUUUACAUGAUCUUUCCUUUGUCCAGUAAGAAAUAACUCACAUACCUACACCUUAUAAACUCGCCCUACCCUCAACCCAUUGCAGCCCUUCACUGCCCAGGGGUCCUGUCCCCAUGCCUGCAGUCCUUUACUGCCCAUGGGGUCCUGUCCCCAUGCCUGCAGCUCUUCACUGCCCAGGGGUCCUGCCCCCACGCCUGCAGCCCUUCACUGCCCAGGGGUCCUGUCCCCAUGCCUGCAGCCCUUCACUGCCCAGGGGUCCUGUCCCCAUGCCUGCAGUCCUUUACUGUCCAUGGGGUCCUGUCCCCAUGCUACUCCAUGCUAUUCUCUGAA